GACGAACGCUGGCGGCGUGCUUAACACAUGCAAGUCGAACGGAAAGGCCCUGCUUUUGUGGGGUGCUCGAGUGGCGAACGGGUGAGUAACACGUGAGUAACCUGCCCUUGACUUUGGGAUAACCUCAGGAAACUGGGGCUAAUACCGGAUAGGAGCUCCUGCUGCAUGGUGGGGGUUGGAAAGUUUCGGCGGUUGGGGAUGGACUCGCGGCUUAUCAGCUUGUUGGUGGGGUAGUGGCUUACCAAGGCUUUGACGGGUAGCCGGCCUGAGAGGGUGACCGGCCACAUUGGGACUGAGAUACGGCCCAGACUCCUACGGGAGGCAGCAGUGGGGAAUAUUGCACAAUGGGCGGAAGCCUGAUGCAGCAACGCCGCGUGCGGGAUGACGGCCUUCGGGUUGUAAACCGCUUUCGCCUGUGACGAAGCGUGAGUGACGGUAAUGGGUAAAGAAGCACCGGCUAACUACGUGCCAGCAGCCGCGGUGAUACGUAGGGUGCGAGCGUUGUCCGGAUUUAUUGGGCGUAAAGGGCUCGUAGGUGGUUGAUCGCGUCGGAAGUGUAAUCUUGGGGCUUAACCCUGAGCGUGCUUUCGAUACGGGUUGACUUGAGGAAGGUAGGGGAGAAUGGAAUUCCUGGUGGAGCGGUGGAAUGCGCAGAUAUCAGGAGGAACACCAGUGGCGAAGGCGGUUCUCUGGGCCUUUCCUGACGCUGAGGAGCGAAAGCGUGGGGAGCGAACAGGCUUAGAUACCCUGGUAGUCCACGCUGUAAACGGUGGGUACUAGGUGUGGGGUCCAUUCCACGGGUUCCGUGCCGUAGCUAACGCUUUAAGUACCCCGCCUGGGGAGUACGGCCGCAAGGCUAAAACUCAAAGGAAUUGACGGGGCCCCGCACAAGCGGCGGAGCAUGCGGAUUAAUUCGAUGCAACGCGUAGAACCUUACCUGGGUUUGACAUGGAUCGGGAGCGCUCAGAGAUGGGUGUGCCUCUUUUGGGGUCGGUUCACAGGUGGUGCAUGGCUGUCGUCAGCUCGUGUCGUGAGAUGUUGGGUUAAGUCCCGCAACGAGCGCAACCCUUGUUCACUGUUGCCAGCACGUUAUGGUGGGGACUCAGUGGAGACCGCCGGGGUCAACUCGGAGGAAGGUGGGGAUGACGUCAAGUCAUCAUGCCCCUUAUGUCCAGGGCUUCACGCAUGCUACAAUGGCUGGUACAGAGAGUGGCGAGCCUGUGAGGGUGAGCGAAUCUCGGAAAGCCGGUCUCAGUUCGGAUUGGGGUCUGCAACUCGACCUCAUGAAGUCGGAGUCGCUAGUAAUCGCAGGUCAGCAACGCUGCGGUGAAUACGUUCCCGGG
rnacentral:rRNA from 1 species